GUCAGUCUUUGGGAUUACUCAUCACUUGCCUUGUGAGCUGCUUCAGGUAAUUUCGUGAAGAACUGUUGACAAAAUUAUCUCUAGAAGACCAGUCAUUCAAGAACACUGAUGGACACAUAUUAAUGUGUCUGUCCAUCAUUGGACAGACUGGUGUUGGUCAGAUUGGUGAGCUUGGAAGAAAGAUUCUUUGUGUUGGUACAGAGUGAAGAUUUUCCUCUCUUGUGAAAGGACGCAGGGAUAAAAAAAGGAUAACAUCAUCUCCGCAAGAAGAAAUCUGAUUCAUUGCGAACUCAAUCACCAAGAUAACAUGAAUGUUUCCAGGAGGAUACAUUCCCUCCGAGCUCACAGACAGAAAACCAAUGCGAACACACAUGAGAACUGGCACAGUACCUCUGCAUUCAAGCAACAACGUGGAGAUGAGCUUGCUACAGUCCUUACUCUGUACACUGUAAUUGUCAUGGUCCUUCUAAUGGCAAUCUGGGGAGCCUGGGCAAGAAAGGAUUCAUACGUAUAGCAACAGUGUGCUUUCUCUGUUAAAUAUUAAAAAAAUAUAUUAGUACUGAUUAUUUGUACCCAGGAGGUACAAAAAAUGGUACCUGCAUAUUAUAGCUUACUUGAAACAGCUUCAACUAUGGUUACUUGGGGAAAUGAACCUUUGAAAAGAUUUAAUAGGCAAAGUACAGAAUGUGACUGUGAAUAAGGUAACAAAACUGCACUGUAAACAUGUUUAUAUUACUGUUUGCAUGUAUAAUUUUAAGCACAAUAUGCUUGCAGGAAGAAAGGUUCAAGCAAUGUUUUCAUCAGUCAAUCAUUUGUAUAUCUAAGCAGCUUUCCAUUUUUUGUCUUACACUGUCCAUUCUCUACCUCUGCUAUUAUUACCAUGGUAAAACAUACUGUAUGUAUAUACAAAUAAGCAACUAAUCUGUCAAGUCGCAACAUAGGAAAAAAUCAAUAAGAACAGCUAUCCUGCAGGCUAAGAAGGACCUCUGAAGAAGUCAAAUACUCAUCUCAGUGGCUGAAAAGAGUUUAUGUUGACAAUGGGUCUUGCAUCUGCAUUUGUUUAACUUCUUGUAAUACAGUUGUAAACUCAGGAAUAAACCCACCAAAUAAAUUGUACUUGUAAGCA